rnacentral:rRNA from 1 species
GACGAACGCUGGCGGCGUGCUUAACACAUGCAAGUCGUACGGUAAGGCCCUUUCGGGGGUACACGAGUGGCGAACGGGUGAGUAACACGUGAGUAACCUGCCCACAACUUUGGGAUAACGCUAGGAAACUGGUGCUAAUACUGGAUAUGUGCUCCUGCUGCAUGGUGGGGGUUGGAAAGCUCCGGCGGUUGUGGAUGGACUCGCGGCCUAUCAGCUUGUUGGUGGGGUAGUGGCCUACCAAGGCGGCGACGGGUAGCCGGCCUGAGAGGGUGACCGGCCACAUUGGGACUGAGAUACGGCCCAGACUCCUACGGGAGGCAGCAGGGGGGAAUAUUGCACAAGGGGCGCAAGCCUGAUGCAGCAACGCCGCGUGCGGGAUGACGGCCUUCGGGUUGUAAACCGCUUUCAGCAGGGACGAGGCUUUUUGUGACGGUACCUGCAGAAGAAGCACCGGCUAACUACGUG